rnacentral:rRNA from 1 species
AGCAGCCGCGGUAAUUCCAGCUCCAAUAGCGUAUAUUAAAGUUGUUGCAGUUAAAAAGCUCGUAGUUGAAUUUCGGGGUUAGCAGGUCGGUCGUGCCAUCGGUAUGAACUGGUCUCGCUGAUCCCUCCCUCUUGACGAACUGUGAUGCCAUUAAUUUGGUGUCGCAGGGAAUCAGGACUGUUACUUUAGAAAAAUUAGAGUGUUUAAAGCAGGCUCACGCUUGAAUACAUUAGCAUGGAAUAAUGAAAUAGGACGUUUGAUCCUAUUUUGUUGGUUUCUAGGAUUGACGUAAUGAUUAAUAGGGAUAG